rnacentral:rRNA from 1 species
CCGCCCGUCACACCAUGGGAGUCAGUUGCUCCAGAAAUGGCAUCGCUAACCGCAAGGAGGCAUGCCCUUAAGGAGUGGCUGGUAACUGGGGUG